rnacentral:rRNA from 1 species
GGGUUGUGAGGUUAAGCGACUAAGCGUACACGGUGGAUGCCCUGGCAGUCAGAGGCGAUGAAGGACGUGCUAAUCUGCGAUAAGCGUCGGUGAGGUGAUAUGAACCGUUAUAACCGGCGAUUUCCGAAUGGGGAAACCCAGUGUGUUUCGACACACUAUCAUUAACUGAAUCCAUAGGUUAAUGAGGCGAACCGGGGGAACUGAAACAUCUAAGUACCCCGAGGAAAAGAAAUCAACCGAGAUUCCCCCAGUAGCGGCGAGCGAACGGGGAGGAGCCCAGAGCCUGAAUCAGUGUGUGUGUUAGUGGAAGCGUCUGGAAAGGCGUGCGAUACAGGGUGACAGCCCCGUACACAAAAAUGCACAUAUUGUGAGCUCGAUGAGUAGGGCGGGACACGUGGUAUCCUGUCUGAAUAUGGGGGGACCAUCCUCCAAGGCUAAAUACUCCUGACUGACCGAUAGUGAACCAGUACCGUGAGGGAAAGGCGAAAAGAACCCCGGCGAGGGGAGUGAAAAAGAACCUGAAACCGUGUACGUACAAGCAGUGGGAGCCUCUUAAUGGGGUGACUGCGUACCUUUUGUAUAAUGGGUCAGCGACUUAUAUUCUGUAGCAAGGUUAACCGAAUAGGGGAGCCGAAGGGAAACCGAGUCUUAACUGGGCGUUAAGUUGCAGGGUAUAGACCCGAAACCCGGUGAUCUAGCCAUGGGCAGGUUGAAGGUUGGGUAACACUAACUGGAGGACCGAACCGACUAAUGUUGAAAAAUUAGCGGAUGACUUGUGGCUGGGGGUGAAAGGCCAAUCAAACCGGGAGAUAGCUGGUUCUCCCCGAAAGCUAUUUAGGUAGCGCCUCGUGAAUUCAUCUCCGGGGGUAGAGCACUGUUUCGGCAAGGGGGUCAUCCCGACUUACCAACCCGAUGCAAACUGCGAAUACCGGAGAAUGUUAUCACGGGAGACACACGGCGGGUGCUAACGUCCGUCGUGAAGAGGGAAACAACCCAGACCGCCAGCUAAGGUCCCAAAGUCAUGGUUAAGUGGGAAACGAUGUGGGAAGGCCCAGACAGCCAGGAUGUUGGCUUAGAAGCAGCCAUCAUUUAAAGAAAGCGUAAUAGCUCACUGGUCGAGUCGGCCUGCGCGGAAGAUGUAACGGGGCUAAACCAUGCACCGAAGCUGCGGCAGCGACACUAUGUGUUGUUGGGUAGGGGAGCGUUCUGUAAGCCUGUGAAGGUGGCCUGUGAGGGUUGCUGGAGGUAUCAGAAGUGCGAAUGCUGACAUAAGUAACGAUAAAGCGGGUGAAAAGCCCGCUCGCCGGAAGACCAAGGGUUCCUGUCCAACGUUAAUCGGGGCAGGGUGAGUCGACCCCUAAGGCGAGGCCGAAAGGCGUAGUCGAUGGGAAACAGGUUAAUAUUCCUGUACUUGGUGUUACUGCGAAGGGGGGACGGAGAAGGCUAUGUUGGCCGGGCGACGGUUGUCCCGGUUUAAGCGUGUAGGCUGGUUUUCCAGGCAAAUCCGGAAAACCAAGGCUGAGGCGUGAUGACGAGGCACUACGGUGCUGAAGCGACAAAUGCCCUGCUUCCAGGAAAAGCCUCUAAGCAUC